rnacentral:lncRNA from 1 species
CAGGCGCGGAAGUCCGCUCCCCGAGCGAGCUGCCAAGUGUGCUGCCGGCUGGACCGCCUGCUCCGUGACCGUUGCCAUCUCCGAGCUGCGUGGGAAACACUCUGGGAAGCCGCACAAUGUACUGGGGAUCAAACUCUGGACCUUGCGCUUAUGAGGCAGGCAGCGGAACCACUGAGCUAAAUCCCAGCCCUAGGGUCUUUUACUUUACUGGUCAGUGUAUUUAUUUCUCCGUCAGCUUCAUGCAAUUUACUGAUUAAACAAGUAUUUUAUUCAUUGCUUGAUUGUAGCUCUUUUUCCAAGUGUUCAGCCUGCAACCUGACUGACUCUUUUUCAGCCUCUGCUGAUCUGACUAUAGCCUGCACGUCAGCCACCUGCGGCACCUGUAUUCUUUGGACAUUUUCUACCUGAGCACCAAAAUUCUCUUCAAUCUCUGAGCCUUUUAAUUUCUGACUCAAAUGGGCUUUUUCUCAAAGAAGUUGCUCCACUCGUUUGGUGUCUCUUGUGAGAUCAGCACUAAUCAGCUGGUUAUGUAGUUCUUUAUCUUUCUCCAGCCUUGCAACCUCUGAUUCAUAUUUCAGUUUUUCUUCUAAAAUACAUGCAAAUUCUUCUUUCUGGUGUUCAAAUUCUGACUUCAGAAAUGUAUGUUCAUGGCAAAGCUUAUUAUAUUCAGCUCUAUACUUUUCAACUUCUUCAUCCAGAUUCCAAAAACACUCUCGCAUUGGAGUUUCUAACUCUUGUUGUAUCUGGGCUCUUAACAAUUCCAGUUUUUGCAGAGUUAAUACCUGCAGUUUCUUUUCUUCCAAGUCUUUAGUUUUCGCUACUAAUUCCCCUCUUUGCUCUUCAAGCAGCAGCUGGAACGUUUCCUGGUUAGUUUCAUUUGACAGGGGCUUCAGUUCAUUUUGUGACUUUAUCCUGCAACCUUGUGUGUUCCAGUUUUAGAGUCUGAUAAUUGGUUUUUGUCAGGUAAAAGGCCGAAAACCAAGACCAGACCAGGCCACAAUAAGCCUUUAUUAGGGGAACAGAUCUGCUGGGCUGUCUCUGAGCAAAGGAG